UAUAUAGAUAUAUUGAUUUAUUUAUUUAUUUAUUUUCUAGAAAUUCAAAAUGUUCUAUCAAUCCAUAGGAUUAUUGUAAAAUUCCAAAUUUAGAGUUUUAAUCAAAAUUCUAAAAAUAUCCAAAUCUAGAGUUUUGAUCAUGAAAUUCAAAAUGUUCUUCCAAUUCAAAUGAUCAUUUUCUUCCUAAGCUUGAGCUCACGCUGAUGUUCGAGGUUGCGUUGCGUCUUAAUAAAGCACAAACUGCGAGCAUUGACAAUAAACAAGGAUUUUAUGAUGUAGAAGACCAGGCCUGUGUAAUGCGAGACAGAUCCUCUGAAUUUGGACUCCGUGAUAGAGCUCCGGAAUAUAGCAUCAUGCAGGAAUCAUCAGUGUUUUCAUGAUGCGGUGAGAGGCCAGAUGGAGCAGGAAGCUGUGGUGUCGGAUGCUGAUGUUACAAGUUCAUCUGGAGACUUUGUACCCCUGCAAGAAUGUUCAAGUGGCUGUCUGUCUCACUCCAUUGCAUUCUGCAGACUGCGAUCAACGACGGGGUCACUUCAAUGAUAUGAUACACUGAGUUAUUAGUUGGCUAUGUUGCUUUGGGACGAUCCCAGGAAUGAGGACGACGACUUUCAAAAGA
rnacentral:lncRNA from 1 species